UGACCUAGAUGUACAGGUUCC
rnacentral:miRNA from 1 species